rnacentral:rRNA from 1 species
UUCCGUAGGUGAACCUGCGGAAGGAUCAUUCGCACAUGCUUCAAUUCAACUGUGUUGUUUAUCUGUGUAUCAUCUUCUUGGAAAUGCUCUUCGGAGAUGUAUGUUGGUGUUUGGCUGGGCGGAUUGCAAUGCAUGCCUGUCCGCUCUCAUCGCUAAAUCACUACAUGAUUCCUCGUCCUAAAUUUUCUUAUUCGCUGUUUGUUUGAAAAGCUAAGAAUUUUCAGUUAUGAAUGUCUCGGUUCGAACGACGAUGAAGGGUGCAGCGAAGUGCGAUAAGCAUUGUGAAUUGCAGAAUUCCGUGAGCCGACAGGAACUUGAACAUAUAUUGUGCUUUUGGGAUAUCCCUAAAAGCAUGUGUGCUUCAGUGACAAUAACUUACUGUUUCAGUGAGUGUCACACUUGAUACGAUACACAUUCACUUUGUUCUAUUAGUCUUCAAAUCGUGUUGGUUUCGUGCGGAUGCUAAUGUGAGGUCUGUGAUUGAUAAGGCCAUUGUGUGUCGAUCAGCUUACAAAGCACUAUCGUGUUGAAGCUGAUGAUGCCCGUUGCAAUGUGGGUCUUGCUAUCUCGAUCUCGAUGUGCGAACACAUGUCAUGAAGUUAGGCUUGCAAACUCGCUGAAUUUAAGCAUAUCAAU